GGCCUCUCUCCUAUGGGGCAACAGGUGGUCCCUUUUCUCCUAAGCCAGUGCUGCAGGCCAAGAUCAGCCCUUGAGGAUCCUUGUUGGGGCUGCCAUGAACUGGUAGCCUUGUGUUCCUGCCUCAGACAUCU
ensembl:scaRNA